GAUGAACGCUGGCGGCGUGCCUAAUACAUGCAAGUCGAGCGAACAGACGAGGAGCUUGCUCCUCUGACGUUAGCGGCGGACGGGUGAGUAACACGUGGAUAACCUACCUAUAAGACUGGGAUAACUUCGGGAAACCGAGCUAAUACCGGAUAAUAUAUUGAACCGCAUGGUUCAAUAGUGAAAGACGGUUUUGCUGUCACUUAUAGAUGGAUCCGCGCCGCAUUAGCUAGUGAAGUACGCUCAAGGCAACGAUGCGUAGCCGACCUGAGAGGGUGAUCGGCCACACUGGAACUGAGACACGGUCCAGACUCUACGGAGCAGCAGUAGGGAAUCUUCGCAAUGGGCAAAGCCUGACGGAGCAACGCCGCGUGAGUGAUGAAGGUCUUCGGAUCGUAAAACUCUGUUAUUAGGGAAG
rnacentral:rRNA from 1 species